rnacentral:rRNA from 1 species
GACAGAGGCCUCAAGCGUUAGGCGGAAUCACUGGGCUUAAAGCGUGUGUAGGCGGAUCGUUAAGUGUCUUGUGAAAUCCCACGGCUCACCCGUGGAACUGCUGGGCAUACUGGCGAUCUUGGGCCAACUAGGGGCAACUGGAACAAGCGGUGGAGCGGUGAAAUGCGUAGAUAUCGCUUGGAACGCCGAAGGUGAAAACAGGUUGCUGGGGUUGUGC